AAUAAGAUGCCUGAAUAAAAGGUUUAUUUUGAUAGAAUAAUUUAUGUAAAUUUUACUCUUAUUG
rnacentral:tRNA from 1 species